rnacentral:sRNA from 1 species
GAUUAAUGUUUUCCAUUUAAUGACUUUUAAUUAGAAAUUCUGAAUUAAUUCCUAAAUCUUCAUAUGAUACAUAGGAUUGAAUCUAAAUUAACUUUCAAAUGGAUGACUCAUGCUUUUAGGAAUUUAGAUUUUCUUUUCUCAGCUUUUGGAUUUUGAAAACCCUUGGCUCGUUUUUAUGUUCUCUCGAUCAAACCCAGUUUGGGUUGGUUCUUCUUCGUGCAAUGAGCAUGAGAAGGGAGACACCUUUCUUGUCCCUCAUCUUCGUUGCUGUUUCGAUCUUGCAAAGUAGCCUUCUUCUUCUUCUUCUUCCCAUUCUGGUUCGUUUCACAGGGAGGGAGGCUAGGUCCGGUGGCUCAGACACGACUCAUCUCCACGACGUGUGGGUUCGUUCGCCGGCAUCUCUACAGCAACAAGGGUCUUAGUUAGUGGGCGUUUUUGUGGCAGUGCAUGGUGUUGGCUUGGGGUUUCGUUUGGGGGAUCUUGGGGUUCCUUUUUGGAUUUUCAUUUUCUCCUUCUCUGAUUUGACUUUGCAGAGGACUUUUGUUCUUUCUCUAUGCUCUGUUCUUGACUAGGGUUUAUGAAAUCUGGAAUUUGGGGAUUUUGGAAUCUGGUUCUUACGAUUAGGGUUUUCCUUGGGUAUUUGGGUCUGCAAAUUGGGUUUCUUGAAUCUUCUAUGCAGGUUGCGUGAUUUGGGGGCAAGAGUGUUGAUUUGGGAAUCUUUGGUUCUUCCCUGUUCUUGCAAAUGGGUGGAGAUUUUGUUCUUCUCUACGGUUUAGGGUUCGAUUGAGGUCGUGGUUAUUCCUGUAAUUCUUGAUUCGUUUGAUGCAGAGGGCUUUUGCGCGGAUAGACUUAAUGGUUGUUGUGAGUUUGGGUUUCUCUUGGUCGUGGAAGAGGGUCCGGGUUAGACUGGAAGUGUCCAUUCCUUGGCGGUGAUGAGGAGUCACGGUGGUCCAGCAUGUCACUAGUGAUCCUGGUUGGACAGUUGAACCUAAUUGGGCAUGGAAGCCCAAAGUUGAAUUCAGAGUUGGAUACUUAAAUUGCAAUGCUAGAAAAAAUAAUAAUAAUUAGAAUUUUAAUUGUGUUGCAGGCCCAGAGUCUGUACUAUCCACCUCAAUCUCUAAUUACUUAGCAGGUCACCACGCAU